rnacentral:tRNA from 1 species
ACCUGGAUAGCUCAGUUGGUUAGGGCAUGGUGCUGAUAAUGCAAAGGUUGCAGGUUCAAUCCCUGUAUGGGACA